CGCGCGUCGGAAACAUGCUGCCGUCCCAGUGCGCGAGACUAACGGCGUGGAGAGUGUGCAGCUAGCGUGCUCUGCGGGACGUGACAGCGAGCACAGGCGCGCAGCACUAGCUCGGACGGCGCCCCGCGCGUCUCUUCCUGUCCGUGCUUUCCGGAGACUGCGCGAGCUUUUCCAACAAAUGCGGCGUUUCCCACCGUCGCUGUGGGACAGAGUUUAGCUAGCGUGCUAGCUAGCGAGCGUCUGUGAAAGUGCUCUGCUGUGCUCCAGCAACGCAGGUAGUUUAAACCGACACCUCCGGCGGCGCUUUGGGACUGCGGACGAGCUUUGUCAGAGAAGGUUUGUGCGGUUUUUCUAAAAUGCACCACCAGCAGCGAAUGGCAGCCUUAGGGACAGACAAAGAGCUCAGCGACUUGCUGGAUUUCAGUGCGAUGCGAAACAGCGAUUUGAAAAUGUUCCCCACGUCCAUGAUGUUCUCUCCUCCUGUUAGCAGCGGGAAGAACGGAGCGACCUCUCUGGGAAGCGGACACUUCUCCGGCUCAG